UUUUCCCUAAAUCCAGUGUUGGAUAAAAAGGAAGCCAGGAUUUGCUGGUGAAUGUGGGCUCUGGCAUGGAAAAAAAAACUGACUUCUCCUCCCAGUUGCCUCGAUCAUGUCUGUGGCUUUGAGUGGGCCUCAGAUUUCUCAUCUUUUAAAUGGAGGGUAAUUCAUCCAGCAAAUAUUUGUUGGCCCCCUACUAUGUGCCAUGUACUGUUCUGGGCAUUGGAGAUACAUUGGCAAACAAAAUAGACAAAACGCCUGAUUUCUUGGAGUUUAUGUUCAACUGAGGAGAGAUAGAUAAUACACACAACAAAUACAUAAAUUACGUAAAAGUUCUCAUUGUGGUUCCAGCAGGUUAAGGAUACAAUAUAGUAUCUGGGAGGAUGGGGGUUCAAUCCCUGGCCUCACUCAGUGGGUUAAUGAUCCAGAGUUGCCACAGAUGCUGCUCAGAUCUGGAGUUACUAUGACGGUGAUGUAGUCUGGCAGUUGCAGCUCCAAUUCAACUCCUACCCCAGGAACAUCCAUAUGCUGAAGAUGUGACCAUAAAAAGCAAAAAAAAAAAAAAAUUAUAUAGCAUGAUAGAGGGUAUUAAGUUCCACCCUCAAAGUAGAACACGGUGAGGAGAAAGACUGGGUGAGGGGAAGUUUGAGGGACUGGGUGACACCCUAUCUGUUAGGGUAGAUCUCAUUGAGAGAGUGACAUUUACCCCAAGACGUGGAGGGGGAGAGGGGGGGCGAGCCACCGGGCUAUCUGGGGGAAGAGGGUCCCAGGCAAAGGCGAGAAUGAAGGCAAAGGUCUCAACUGGGAAUAUGCCUGGUCAGUUGCAGGAAAAACAGGAAAAUGAUUGUGGCUGGUGAGGAGUGAGGGAAGGAGAGAUUACUAGGAAAUCAGACAUGCAUUAGGGGUUGGGAGAUAAGGGCCUAUUUCAUAGAGCCUUUAGCCACUGUCAGGUUUAGCUUCACCCUGCCCUGGGAGCCAUUGGAGGGUUCUGGGCAAAAGAAAGACACACUCUGAGGUACAUUUUAACAGGAUCCCUCUGGCCUCUAAUUUGAGAAUAGGCUUAUAGGGGACAAGGGGAAAAGCAGGGAGUCUGCAGCGCUAAUCCAGGGGAGAGAGAAGGAUCCACACCCUGUUGGUUUUGCCUAUUCUGAGCUCUGUUGGGUAAAUGGCACAUCAGAUUUGGGGGAAAGGAUGUGUAUGAUUUUUCUUAUUCUCUUUGACAUACCUACCCUGCCCAGGGACAUGGCUGGAGGCUGGACCGUCCCACUGACCUUUCUGGGGGGUUGUGGCUAACGUGAUGGAGGUGUCGAGGGAGGGAGGGAGAGUGUUACCUUCCAAGGUUGUUGGCAGCCACCUCCUGACUGGUUGGCCAGGAGACAUCUGAUCCUGGCUGGAAGUGUAUUUUGGGGAAUGGCGUGCUCGUGCCCUCUCUGAACAGGAAACUCAGCCAGUCAGUCAAUGAUGGCUGGUUUUCAAGACUGAACAUACCUCUCAACUAGUAGCGCUGGCAUGCAGUCCCUUCUGAAAGGAUGGAGGGAGAAGCUUACAGCCAAACACACAGCAGGACACGUGGACUGGGAGGAGAGUCAGUUCUCCCAGGUGUUUUGAUGCUGCAUUGUCACUUCCCUAAAUGCAAUGCAAGGAGAAUCCAGUGCCUGCCACAUUCAAGGAAGCAUGUCAUGAAUGCUAGAAAGAAAAGCGGGAGGUUUGGCCACGGUGCUGGAUUCACCCAGAACAUACAUCAAAUACCUUGUGACUCGUCUCAUGAUCGUCCCCAGACAAACCACUUCACCAAAGGUUCUUCUUGGUUGUGGUUUGCCAAUAGAAGCUUGUUACAGUUUAUGCUGAUCUUCAGGAACCCUGAGGAAACUUGAAGAGUAAAAAGCCAUAAGGCCAUCUGUCCUAUUUUCCAUUACCUCUUGUCUACACAUGGGACCUUCUCCUCUCCUUCUCCUCUCCUUCUCCCCACCUCAGCCCCAAGACUCUCACGGUCUCUUUCGAUCGGCACCCCCUCUGGACAGAGCACUGAGCUCAGCUCUAGAAGGUCAGAGCCGAGUAAUUCAAAACCCCUGCCCUUCAAUUGCAUUUGCUCUAGAAGGCAGAAGGGGCUGCACAGAACCCUAAGGCACUCUGAGUGAGGGCUCCAACAAAUUCCCCAGAGAAGAGCUAGCCUAGCCUCUGUGCUGGGUCUCAGAGCCAGAGGUGAAGAGAGAAUUAUAUUGACAGCAGGGGAAAUAAUAGCUAAUAAUUACAAGUGGCUCUCAAAAAGAAACUAUUUGAGUAUUCAUAUAAAAUUAUUGUCAAUUUUACUGAUAGAAAAGAUAUGUAGCACACAAUUCACAAAUAAUAAUAAAAUAUACAAUACUCCUUAUGGCAUAUCCUAUCAGUCAAUUCUCACAAAAUGCUUUUGCUGAUUCUUGCUGAACUAUGAUAUCCAGAACCAACCUGCUAGGUGGCUAGGCUGACACGAAUGGAUCCCAGCCCAUCCUGGUUGGUGUCAUUUUUCUCUUUCCCUCCCCCACCUUGACACUGACCAGAACAUACCCAGAGAUCCUCCCUUUUGUGGCUGAGAACUGUUAAGUUCCCAGCCUUAUCAGGUCCAAGUAGAAGGUCAGAAAACAGAGCUGGGCUUUUCCAAACUGCCACACUGGUUGGCACAGGCACACCAAGACAUAAGAUGUGACCCCAAACAACCCAGGUUCAUUAUGUCAUAUUUGUGAUAAAUUAGCUUUGUGAUUUUUUGCAUCCCCUCAUCCACAGUAUUUUGCUUGUGUGCCAAUGGGUAAGCACCGUACAAUCGCUUCUCGGACUUUUUGGCUAAGGUCAAGUGUAGUAAGCACCGUGCACAAGGAGAAAAGUUAUAAAAUCUAAAGCUGUCAAUCACCUUGUCAAUCAAAUGAUGCAGGACACAGGGAGGGACUCUCCACUGCUCUGAAAGGAAAUACUAGCAGCCCUCCCCUCACUGCGGGGCUGCUUUUGGUUUCUAGCCAGACAGCCUGCUCUCUUCUCUCCAGGAGAGUGCUUUAGCUUGCUUGGCUUAAUAAAACUCCUGCUGCUUGAAAUUGCUCUAUGUCCCUUGUUUGAAUUCUUUCCUUCAGGGAAAGGACCAAGGAAUUGUAACAAAUCUACCACUGCAACUCAGAUGACUACUGGUUGAUAUUUUGUUUACUUUAAUGAAUAAGAUAAAAAGUAAGUUGAGAAUGCCUGUCAGAACUUCACUCAUUGGUCAGUGACAUAAGCAACUUCUUUGCUGAAUCGGGUCAUAGUUUUCAAAUAUUGGAAGGAUAUGUUCUUAAGUUUUGGGGCCGUUCACAAUACGACAGCUACAGACAUGACAAAUCUUAGUCUGUAUUAACAGCUCUCUAUUGUUUUCUUAAGUCUAGACAUUUAACACAACAGCAAAUCAAGCCGUGAUUUGUAGUGUCUGCUAAUUUCUGUGGUGUAAACACUCAAGCAACCAAUGUGACAAAUAGAGGCACAAUAGCAAGUGGUCAUACAGUGUUUCCAGAAUAUAGAUACAAUAUAUAUAAACAACCCAAGAGCAAAAUAACAGAAAACUGUGUUAAAAUCAUCAGAAGGUGAUCAUUUUGAGUAUUUAUUUCCUAUUUUUAA
rnacentral:lncRNA from 1 species